rnacentral:rRNA from 1 species
UACGUAGGGUGCAAGCGUUGUCCGGAAUUAUUGGGCGUAAAGGGCUCGUAGGCGGUCCAUCGCGUCGGGAGUGAAAAGCUGGGGCUUAACCCCAGUCCUGCUCCCGAUACGGGUGGACUAGAGGUAGGUAGGGGAGAUCGGAAUUCCUGGUGUAGCGGUGAAAUGCGCAGAUAUCAGGAGGAACACCGGUGGCGAAGGCGGAUCUCUGGGCCUUACCUGACGCUGAGGAGCGAAAGCAUGGGGAGCAAACAGG